CCCUGUGGCUCAAAUCUGCUUCUCUGUAACUUGCUGUGGAGGGAGAGUUCUGAAGACUUGGAACUCAGGGUUCCAGGACCCCCAUAGUCCCCUCUCCUGUCUGUGCAUCCCAGCCUCCGCCAACCCAGCGGUACUUCCAGCCAGGCUCUGCAUUGGAACCGGGGCCAGCAUGGCACCCUAGGCAGCAGCAGAACUGAGCUCUUUCCCCGGGCAUGUCCUCAGAAGAUUCUCACAGGAAAGGAGGCACCACAGUUAGGCCCAUCGGCGGGGCUGGCAGAGACCCCGGACAGUCCUUGGUACUAAGAGGGUUCCAUUUAGAUCCUUGAGUCUAUCAAGACCUGCAUUUCCAAACUGUGCUACUGGAGAUGUACCACAGCGGCAGUGGGAAAUAAAAAGACAGAAGUUCACAGUCCAGUGGGCAGCAAAUGCCACGUACAAACCAGCCCUCCUCGAAGGACUCAGGCCGACGCUGCCGUCAGAGCUCUGGGAAGCCCUGCAGCAGACGUCCCUGUUGUCUCAGUCAGUUCCCAGACAUCCUUCCUUGUGAACCCGCUUUUAAAACAAUCGCUUGUGCACGCCUUGGGCGCAGUGUGGGGUGCAUGGCUCCCGGCCAACCAUUUUUUGGGGGGCUGCUCAUUUCACAUCUCUGCCUGGGACUAACUCCAGAUUCACCGUGGCCAGAGUCCUAUCGAUGCCCAUCUACACUAGCGUUCAAGGGCACGGGAACUUCCUUUCUGUGUCUCAAGUUCAAAGCAUGCAUUAGGUGCCGCAGGAGCCCAGGGUAGGCGGAGCAGUCACAGGCAUCCCAGACACCUGGGUUGGGGGUUCUGCAGGCCUCUGUGGGACAAGGAGAGACCCUCUGCCCUCCAUCCUGGGAAGGCACUGCCCAUUCCCGGGUCUCCAGGCCGGGGCAACCGCUGCCACCCUGCAGCUGGCCAGACACUGG
rnacentral:lncRNA from 1 species